CAAGAGGAGAAUUUCGGAAGGGUGGGGGCUCCUCUAGCGUUGGGGAAGGAUGUCGCAGUUCUGGAAACCAGGGACGGAGAGGCCACAGGGUCGGGUGGUGGAUGAUGAAGAAGGCGGUGUUCUCUUCUUGUCUUCUUCUCACUCUUCCUCUUCUUCUGGAUUUGGUUACGCCAGCAUCGAGAAACAACGCCAGCGAUUGCCUGUGUACAAGUACCGCACCGCCAUUCUCUACCUCGUCGAGACUCAUGCCACCACCAUCAUCGUCGGUGAGACCGGAAGUGGCAAGACCACUCAAAUUCCUCAGUACCUGAAAGAGGCAGGUUGGGCCACCGGUGGUCGACUCAUUGCUUGCACUCAACCUAGACGACUAGCUGUUCAGGCUGUUGCUGCCAGAGUUGCCGAAGAGAUGGGAGUGAAUCUCGGUGAUGAAGUUGGAUACACCAUUAGGUUUGAAGAUAUUACCAAACCAGAUGUAACGGUGCUAAAAUUUUUAACCGAUGGAGUGCUCCUGAGGGAGAUGAUGGACGAUCCUCUUUUGACCAAAUAUAGUGUAAUAAUGGUGGAUGAGGCUCAUGAAAGGUCAAUUUCAACUGACAUUUUGCUUGGACUAUUGAAAAAGAUUCAACGGCGUAGACCAGAGUUGCGGUUGAUUAUCUCAUCUGCUACUAUUGAAGCAAAAUCGAUGUCUGACUUUUUUCAAACAAGAAAAAAGCGCAGAGAACCUCAAAAUGAGGACCAUGGGCUACAAGUGGAACCUGCAAUUUUAUCAGUUGAGGGCAGAGGCUUCAAUGUACAAAUUAAUUAUGCUGAGGAACCUGUCCAAGACUAUGUUCAGGCUGCUGUUUCAACUGUUCUCUUGAUCAAUGAGCGGGAGCCCACAGGAGAUGUUCUAGUGUUCCUUACUGGUCAAGAUGAUAUUGAUGCUGCUGUUCAAUUACUCACUGAUGAAAUUCAAACUAAUGGAAAACACUCUUCAGGAUUGAUUGUUUUGCCUCUGUAUUCUGGACUUCCACGUGCUGAACAGGAGUUAGUGUUUUCUCCAACUCCUCGAGGAAAGAGGAAAAUAGUAAUUUCUACUAAUAUAGCUGAAACAUCAUUAACAUUGGAGGGAAUAGUCUAUGUUGUGGACAGUGGAUUCUCAAAACAGCGGUUCUACAAUCCGAUUUCUGAUAUUGAAAAUCUGGUUGUGGCACCAAUAUCUAGGGCUUCUGCUAGACAAAGAGCUGGUAGGGCUGGACGAGUUCGACCAGGAAAGUGUUACAGGCUAUAUACAGAAGAAUAUUUUCUUAACCACAUGUCUAAUGAGGGAAUUCCAGAGAUACAGAGGUCAAAUCUGGUCUCCUGUGUAAUCCAGUUAAAGGCCUUGGGGAUUGAUAAUAUCUUGGGCUUUGACUGGCCAGCAUCUCCAUCUCCUGAAGCAAUGAUCCGAGCACUAGAAGUUCUCUACUCACUUGGGGUUUUGGAUGAUGAUGCUAAGCUGACUGCACCAACUGGAUUUCAAGUUGCUGAGAUUCCACUUGAUCCAAUGGUCUCAAAAAUGAUAAUAGCUUCUAGUGAACUUGGGUGUUCAGAGGAGAUAAUCACAAUUGCAGCUGUUCUUUCUGUCCAAUCUAUCUGGAUCUCAGGGAGAGGGAUACAAAAGGAAUCAGAUGAAGCAAAGUUGAGAUUUGCUGCCGCUGAGGGUGACCAUGUAACCUUCCUUAAUGUAUAUAAGGGGUUUCUUCAGUCUGGUAAAUCUUCACAGUGGUGUCACAAGAACUAUGUAAAUUACCAUGCCAUGAGAAAGGUUCUUGAAGUUAGAGAACAACUCAAAAGAACUGCACAGAGGAUAGGCUUAGUCUUAAAAUCUUGUGAAAGUGAUAUGCAGGUGGUUAGAAAGGCAGUUACUACUGGCUUUUUUGCUAAUGCGUGCCAUUUAGAGGCAUACAGUCAUAAUGGGAUGUAUAAGACGUUACGAGGCUCACAAGAAGUUUAUAUUCACCCAUCAUCAGUGCUAUUCAGAGUAAAUCCAAAGUGGGUUAUUUACAGCUCUCUCGUCUCAACUGAUCGACAAUACAUGCGUAAUGUCAUAACCGUAGAUCCUUCAUGGCUAUUGGAGGCUGCUCCCCACUUCUACCAACUACAGCAACCUAAUCUUCACUGAUUUGCCUUGGCAUAUUAACCGAGUCCAAGGCGAAGGAAAGAAAUUGAUAUAUCAAUUAUCAAAUCUUAGUUCUAAUAGAGCAGAUUAACCGUGAUAGUGCCUUUUGUAGAUACCCUCCUUGCACCACAUAAGAAGAAUCUGGAAUAUCCAUGAAAACAUUAUAGGCCAGAACAAAAGAAGAGAUCAUUGAAGAUCAUUGUAUCCUUAAUGGGAACAUUUUGGCGCCCAUCGUGAGACACGAAUCGCCUCAACUUCAAUCAAUCAUAGUGUUAACAAGAAGCCAACAUGAAGGACAGAGUUAGCAAUUGGGAGUUUUUCAUCAGUAGGAAGUGACCAUGCCUAAUCAACCUAUACCUGAGGUUUUGGCUGAGAAGGGAGGAUGAGAACCUCUCUUCGGUGGUAAAACAAUUAAGGGCUGAAAUGAUGGAGAUACAACGGUUAAGAGAGAAAGACGCUCUUGAGCUAUCGGCUUUAAGGAGAAAAAACGCUAAUCUGAGGAGUGAAAUCAGGACAUAUCUACCCUCUCAAGAUAUAUCGCCCGCUUAGGAACAAGGCGAGUCAUAAGCCUUACAAGAAAAACUAAGAAUAGUUCAGCAGCUAACAAGGACUAACACUUCAGGUGAACGAGAAAGGAUGAUUGGCCGAAGCCCUUUU